CUACUCAGCUGGUAUGUACCGCGUCAGGUGCAGGCACAUCCCUACCAGAUGUUGAUCAUCUCAGUUACCCUGCAGUCAACCUUGAUUCACACUCACCCGGUGUACAGGCUGGAACAGGAGAAUCCCAGUUUCCGUCAUCUUGGCACUGAAUCAGACGGCUGCCGUUUAGGGUGUAGCCAGGAUCACAUUCAAACCUAACCGUGUCCUUGGGUCUAUAGACAGGUCCAUGUUCAGCUACUUUUCUUCCAUUCUGGAUUUCUGGGGUGCUGCAGAGAACCUCUGAAAUUGAAAAGGCGCAGAAAGCAUCAGCAUGCACUGCUGUUCAAUGGGCGCUUGGCACCUGUGCUCUGGACUGGCUGAGAAGAGUUUAUGGUGUUGCUUUUAACCUCUAAAAUGCAAACAGUAUAGUGCAAGCCUUCUUAAAACCACAUCCCAUGAGGUACCGUACUGCUCCUCUCGUGGUGAAUAGAGACCCCAGAAUGAUCCCUCUUAGUGACAGAGAGAGCAGGGCUGGUGGGAGAGCUCCCUGUGAGGGACUCUCAUUUUGGUGCCAUGGUCUUUAACAAUACUGGCCUGUUCGCCUUUGGGGGACACACUUUCCUCUUUUAUAGUGUGUAACGAGGCAAGGGUGGGGAUCGCGUGCCUGUCUGUGAGCGUGAGGGGAGCGUGGAGAUUAGUUGCUAGUGUUUCUAAUUUAUGUCAAGGGUGCCUCGGGUUUCAGACAGCUGCAGCUUUUUAAUGUUUCACUAAUGUGGUGCGUAUGUGUGCACAGGAGUGCAGAGCUUGCAUUUAGCACAUUUAUUUUCAAAAGCAUUUAUUUCACCCUGUGUCUAAUUAUAUAGAGUUUUAAUUCCUUGCUAUUAAAUUUGUUGCACUUGU